UUUUAUAUAGUUUAACAAAAACACUAUAUUUUCACUAUAGAAUUGAUCAAAAUCUAUAAAUA
rnacentral:tRNA from 1 species